rnacentral:rRNA from 1 species
CGGGUGAGUAACACGUGGAUAACCUACCUAUAAGACUGGGAUAACUUCGGGAAACCGGCGCUAAUACCGGAUAAUAUUUUGAACCGCAUGGUUCAAAAGUGAAAGACGGUCUUGCUGUCACUUAUAGAUGGAUCCGCGCUGCAUUAGCUAGUUGGUAAGGUAACGGCUUACCAAGGCAACGAUGCAUAGCCGACCUGAGAGGGUGAUCGGCCACACUGGAACUGAGACACGGUCCAG